rnacentral:rRNA from 1 species
UACGGGGGGGGCAAGCGUUGUUCGGAAUUACUGGGCGUAAAGGGCUCGUAGGCGGCCAACUAAGUCAGACGUGAAAUCCCUCGGCUUAACCGGGGAACUGCGUCUGAUACUGGAUGGCUUGAGAUUGGGAGAGGGAUGCGGAAUUCCAGGUGUAGCGGUGAAAUGCGUAGAUAUCUGGAGGAACACCGGUGGCGAAGGCGGCAUCCUGGACCAACACUGACGCUGAGGCGCGAAAGCCAGGGGAGCAAACGGG